GACGAACGCUGGCGGCGUGCUUAACACAUGCAAGUCGAACGGAAAGGCCCUGCUUUUGUGGGGUGCUCGAGUGGCGAACGGGUGAGUAACACGUGAGUAACCUGCCCUUGACUUUGGGAUAACUUCAGGAAACUGGGGCUAAUAUCGGAUAGGAGCUCCUGCUGCAUGGUGGGGGUUGGAAAGUUUCGGCGGUUGGGGAUGGACUCGAGGCUUAUCAGCUUGUUGGUGGGGUAGUGGCUUACCAAGGCUUUGAAGGGUAGCCGGCCUGAGAGGGUGACCGGCCACAUUGCGACUGAGAUACGGCCCAGAAUCCUACGGGAGGCAGCAGUGGGGAAUAUUGCGCAAUGGGCGGAAGCCUGAUGCAGCAACGCCGCGUGCGGGAUGACGGCCUUCGGGUUGUAAACCGCUUUCGCCUGUGACGAAGCGUGAGUGACGGUAAUGGGUAAAGAAGCACCGGCUAACUACGUG
rnacentral:rRNA from 1 species